GACCCCCUGGUGGUGCAGCUGGAAUCACCUGGGUCCCCUGAGGUGUGGAAUCUCAGAGGGUGUCGGUUCGAAUCCGAUGGGGGUCA